rnacentral:rRNA from 1 species
CGCUGGCGGCGUGCUUAACACAUGCAAGUCGAACGAAAAGAGGGAAAGAGCUUGCUCUUUCCGGAAUUGAGUGGCAAACGGGUGAGUAACACGUAAACAACCUGCCUUCAGGAUGGGGACAACAGACGGAAACGACUGCUAAUACCGAAUAAGUUCCAAGGACCGCAUGGCCCAUGGAAGAAAAGGUGGCCUCUACCUGUAAGCUAUCGCCUGAAGAGGGGUUUGCGUCUGAUUAGCUGGUUGGAGGGGUAACGGCCCACCAAGGCGACGAUCAGUAGCCGGUCUGAGAGGAUGAACGGCCACACUGGAACUGAGACACGGUCCAGACUCCUACGGGAGGCAGCAGUGGGGAAUCUUCCGCAAUGGGCGAAAGCCUGACGGAGCAACGCCGCGUGAGUGAUGACGGCCUUCGGGUUGUAAAACUCUGUGAUCCGGGACGAAAAGGCAGAGUGCGAAGAACAAACUGCAUUGACGGUACCGAAAAAGCAAGCCACGGCUAACUACGUGCCAGCAGCCGCGGUAAUACGUAGGUGGCAAGCGUUGUCCGGAAUUAUUGGGCGUAAAGCGCGCGCAGGCGGCUUCCCAAGUUCCUCUUAAAAGUGCGGGGCUUAACCCCGUGAUGGGAAGGAAACUGGGAAGCUGGAGUAUCGGAGAGGAAAGUGGAAUUCCUAGUGUAGCGGUGAAAUGCGUAGAGAUUAGGAAGAACACCGGUGGCGAAAGCGACUUUCUGGACGAAAACUGACGCUGAGGCGCGAAAGCGUGGGGAGCAAACAGGAUUAGAUACCUUGGUAGUC